CCCUUAGAUGUUCUGGGCUGCACGCGCGCUACACUGAAGCUAUCAACACGUUUUCCCUCCCUGAGAAGGGCGGGUAACCUUCUGAAUCAGCUUCGUGGUAGGGAUCGGGGCUUGCAAUUGUUCCCCGUGAACCAGGAAUUCCUAGUAGACGCGAGUCAUAAGCUCGCAUCGAUUAAGUCCCUGCCCUUUGUACACACCGCCCGUCGCUACUACCGAUUGAACGUUUUAGUGAGGCAUUUGGACCGACGCAUCUCAGUUUAACCGCUGGUUUGUGUUGGAAAGACUUCCAAACUUGAGCGUCUAGAGGAAGUAAAAGUCGUAACA
rnacentral:rRNA from 1 species